GACGUAGGGCGCGAGCGUUGUCCGGAUUUAUUGGGCGUAAAGAGCUCGUAGGCGGCUUGUCGCGUCGAAUGUGAAAACCCGAGGCUCAACUUCGGGCUUGCAUUCGAUACGGGCAGGCUCGAGUUCGGUAGGGGAGACUGGAAUUCCUGGUGUAGCGGUGAAAUGCGCAGAUAUCGGGAGGAACACCGGUGGCGAAGGCGGUUCUCUGGGCCUGUACUGACGCUGAGGGGCGAAAGCGUGGGGAGCGAACAGG
rnacentral:rRNA from 1 species